rnacentral:rRNA from 1 species
GUGGGGAAUAUUGCGCAAUGGGGGAAACCCUGACGCAGCGACGCCGUGUGAGGGAAGAAGGCUUUCGGGUCGUAAACCUCUGUCAGAAAGGAAGAACCUCCCAAGUCCGAAUAGGGCUUGGGACUGACGGUACUUUCAAAGGAAGCACCGGCUAACUCCGUGCCAGCAGCCGCGGUAAUACGGAGGGUGCAAGCGUUAAUCGGAAUCACUGGGCGUAAAGCGCGCGUAGGCCGCUUUGUAAGUCGGACGUGAAAGCCCUCGGCGCAACCGGGGAACUGCGUUCGAUACUGCGAGGCUUGAGUCCUGGAGAGGGUGGCGGAAUUCCGGGUGUAGGAGUGAAAUCCGUAGAUAUCCGGAGGAACACCGGUGGCGAAGGCGGCCACCUGGACAGGUACUGACGCUGAGGCGCGAAAGCGUGGGGAGCAAACAGGAUUAGAAACCCGAGUAGUCC